rnacentral:rRNA from 1 species
UCAGGAUGAACGCUAGCGGCAGGCUUAACACAUGCAAGUCGAGGGGCAGCGAGGGUGAUAGCAAUAUUACCUGUCGGCGACCGGCGCACGGGUGCGUAACGCGUAUGCAACCUACCAUCAACAGGGGGAUAACACUGAGAAAUUGGUACUAAUACCCCAUAAUAUCUCAUGCGGCAUCGCAUGGGGUUGAAAACUCCGGUGGUUGAUGAUGGGCAUGCGUUGUAUUAGCUGGUUGGUGAGGUAACGGCUCACCAAGGCGACGAUACAUAGGGGGACUGAGAGGUUAACCCCCCACAUUGGUACUGAGACACGGACCAAACUCCUACGGGAGGCAGCAGUGAGGAAUAUUGGUCAAUGGACGCAAGUCUGAACCAGCCAUGCCGCGUGCAGGAUGACGGCUCUAUGAGUUGUAAACUGCUUUUGUACGAGGGUAAACCCCGAUACGUGUAUUGGGUUGAAAGUAUCGUACGAAUAAGGAUCGGCUAACUCCGUGCCAGCAGCCGCGGUAAUACGGAGGAUCCGAGCGUUAUCCGGAUUUAUUGGGUUUAAAGGGUGCGUAGGCGGUUUGAUAAGUUAGAGGUGAAAUGUCGGGGCUCAACCCCGAAACUGCCUCUAAUACUGUUGGACUAGAGAAUAGUUGCGGUAGGCGGAAUGUAUGGUGUAGCGGUGAAAUGCUUAGAGAUCAUACAGAACACCGAUUGCGAAGGCAGCUUACCAAACUAUAUCUGACGUUGAGGCACGAAAGCGUGGGUAGCAAACAGGAUUAGAUACCCUGGUAGUCCACGCA